rnacentral:rRNA from 1 species
CGGGACACGUGGUAUCCUGUCUGAAUAUGGGGGGACCAUCCUCCAAGGCUAAAUACUCCUGACUGACCGAUAGUGAACCAGUACCGUGAGGGAAAGGCGAAAAGAACCCCGGCGAGGGGAGUGAAAAAGAACCUGAAACCGUGUACGUACAAGCAGUGGGAGCACGCUUAGGCGUGUGACUGCGUACCUUUUGUAUAAUGGGUCAGCGACUUAUAUUCUGUAGCAAGGUUAACCGAAUAGGGGAGCCGAAGGGAAACCGAGUCUUAACUGGGCGUUAAGUUGCAGGGUAUAGACCCGAAACCCGGUGAUCUAGCCAUGGGCAGGUUGAAGGUUGGGUAACACUAACUGGAGGACCGAACCGACUAAUGUUGAAAAAUUAGCGGAUGACUUGUGGCUGGGGGUGAAAGGCCAAUCAAACCGGGAGAUAGCUGGUUCUCCCCGAAAGCUAUUUAGGUAGCGCCUCGUGAAUUCAUCUCCGGGGGUAGAGCACUGUUUCGGCAAGGGGGUCAUCCCGACUUACCAACCCGAUGCAAACUGCGAAUACCGGAGAAUGUUAUCACGGGAGACACACGGCGGGUGCUAACGUCCGUCGUGAAGAGGGAAACAACCCAGACCGCCAGCUAAGGUCCCAAAGUCAUGGUUAAGUGGGAAACGAUGUGGGAAGGCCCAGACAGCCAGGAUGUUGGCUUAGAAGCAGCCAUCAUUUAAAGAAAGCGUAAUAGCUCACUGGUCGAGUCGGCCUGCGCGGAAGAUGUAACGGGGCUAAACCAUGCACCGAAGCUGCGGCAGCGACGCUGAUGCGUUGUUGGGUAGGGGAGCGUUCUGUAAGCCUGUGAAGGUGUGCUGUGAGGCAUGCUGGAGGUAUCAGAAGUGCGAAUGCUGACAUAAGUAACGAUAAAGCGGGUGAAAAGCCCGCUCGCCGGAAGACCAAGGGUUCCUGUCCAACGUUAAUCGGGGCAGGGUGAGUCGACCCCUAAGGCGAGGCCGAAAGGCGUAGUCGAUGGGAAACAGGUUAAUAUUCCUGUACUUGGUGUUACUGCGAAGGGGGGACGGAGAAGGCUAUGUUGGCCGGGCGACGGUUGUCCCGGUUUAAGCGUGUAGGCUGGUUUUCCAGGCAAAUCCGGAAAAUCAAGGCUGAGGCGUGAUGACGAGGCACUACGGUGCUGAAGCAACAAAUGCCCUGCUUCCAGGAAAAGCCUCUAAGCAUCAGGUAACAUCAAAUCGUACCCCAAACCGACACAGGUGGUCAGGUAGAGAAUACCAAGGCGCUUGAGAGAACUCGGGUGAAGGAACUAGGCAAAAUGGUGCCGUAACUUCGGGAGAAGGCACGCUGAUAUGUAGGUGAAGCGACUUGCUCGUGGAGCUGAAAUCAGUCGAAGAUACCAGCUGGCUGCAACUGUUUAUUAAAAACACAGCACUGUGCAAACACGAAAGUGGACGUAUACGGUGUGACGCCUGCCCGGUGCCGGAAGGUUAAUUGAUGGGGUCAGCGCAAGCGAAGCUCUUGAUCGAAGCCCCGGUAAACGGCGGCCGUAACUAUAACGGUCCUAAGGUAGCGAAAUUCCUUGUCGGGUAAGUUCCGACCUGCACGAAUGGCGUAAUGAUGGCCAGGCUGUCUCCACCCGAGACUCAGUGAAAUUGAACUCGCUGUGAAGAUGCAGUGUACCCGCGGCAAGACGGAAAGACCCCGUGAACCUUUACUAUAGCUUGACACUGAACAUUGAGCCUUGAUGUGUAGGAUAGGUGGGAGGCUUUGAAGUGUGGACGCCAGUCUGCAUGGAGCCGGCCUUGAAAUACCACCCUUUAAUGUUUGAUGUUCUAACGUUGACCCGUGAUCCGGGUUGCGGACAGUGUCUGGUGGGUAGUUUGACUGGGGCGGUCUCCUCCUAAAGAGUAACGGAGGAGCACGAAGGUUGGCUAAUCCUGGUCGGACAUCAGGAGGUUAGUGCAAUGGCAUAAGCCAGCUUGACUGCGAGCGUGACGGCGCGAGCAGGUGCGAAAGCAGGUCAUAGUGAUCCGGUGGUUCUGAAUGGAAGGGCCAUCGCUCAACGGAUAAAAGGUACUCCGGGGAUAACAGGCUGAUACCGCCCAAGAGUUCAUAUCGACGGCGGUGUUUGGCACCUCGAUGUCGGCUCAUCACAUCCUGGGGCUGAAGUAGGUCCCAAGGGUAUGGCUGUUCGCCAUUUAAAGUGGUACGCGAGCUGGGUUUAGAACGUCGUGAGACAGUUCGGUC